GACAGUAAAAAAAACAGGCUCUCUCAUUAUUUUGAAAUAGGGUUUUUCUUUUUCUUCUUCUUGCAGAGGUUAAAUUUCAUCACUUUACAGAGGCUUUCAUGGAGUUGCUUGAAAUUUCUCCAACUUCCAAGUUCUAUCAUUCCCAACUAGGUUAUUAUGAUUUUGAGAAAGCUGUCUUUUGAAACCAACCGAAAGGGCUCCCAUGGUUUUCCAAAGAAUUGAAAGUCUCCAAAUGGAUGCUGAAAUGUAACCCCAAUUAUUAUAAGAAAAUGGUCAGAAAUGUAUGAACCAACAAUUUGUACUUGAAACAUUUUCUUGGACUUUACCUUUUAAAAGGGUAUAGAUAAUAAUCACUUGAGAAUUUUGAAACUGAAAUAAAAAAUAAUAAUAAUUUA